rnacentral:rRNA from 1 species
GGGGGAAUAUUGGACAAUGGGCGCAAGCCUGAUCCAGCCAUGCCGCGUGAGGGAUGAAGGCCCUAGGGUUGUAAAGCUCUUUCACCGGUGAAGAUAAUGACGGUAACCGGAGAAGAAGCUCCGGCUAACUUCGUGCCAGCAGCCGCGGUAAUACGAAGGGGGCUAGCGUUGUUCGGAUUUACUGGGCGUAAAGCGCACGUAGGCGGACGAUUAAGUCAGGGGUGAAAUCCCGGGGCUCAACCCCGGAACUGGCUUUGAUACUGGUAGUCUUGAGUUCGGGGAAGGUGAGUGGAAUUCCGAGUGUAGAGGUGAAAUUCGUAGAUAUUCGGAGGGACACCAGUGGCGAAAGCGGCUCACUGGCUCGAUACUGGCGCUGAGGGGCGAGAGCGUGGGGGGCAAACAGG